AAGUCGAGGGGCAUCGGGAUUGAAGCUUGCUUCAAUUGCCGGCGACCGGCGCACGGGUGCGUAACGCGUAUGUAACCUACCUAUAACAGGGGCAUAACACUGAGAGAUUGGUACUAAUUCCCCAUAAUAUUCGGAGAGGCAUCUCUCCGGGUUGAAAACUGCGGUGGUUAUAGAUGGACAUGCGUUGUAUUAGCUAGUUGGUGAGGUAACGGCUCACCAAGGCAACGAUACAUAGGGGGACUGAGAGGUUAACCCCCCACACUGGUACUGAGACACGGACCAGACUCCUACGGGAGGCAGCAGUGAGGAAUAUUGGUCAAUGGACGCAAGUCUGAACCAGCCAUGCCGCGUGCAGGAAGACGGCUCUAUGAGUUGUAAACUGCUUUUGUACGAGGGUAAACUCACCUACGAGUAGGUGACUGAAAGUAUCGUACGAAUAAGGAUCGGCUAACUCCGUGCCAGCAGCCGCGGUAAUACGGAGGAUUCAAGCGUUAUCCGGAUUUAUUGGGUUUAAAGGGUGCGUAGGCGGCUUGAUAAGUUAGAGGUGAAAUCCCGGGGCUUAACUCCGGAACUGCCUCUAAUACUGUUAGACUAGAGAGUAGUUGCGGUAGGCGGAAUGUAUGGUGUAGCGGUGAAAUGCUUAGAGAUCAUACAGAACACCGAUUGCGAAGGCAGCUUACCAAACUAUAUCUGACGUUGAGGCACGAAAGCGUGGGGAGCAAACAGGAUUAGAUACCCUGGUAGUCCACGCAGUAAACGAUGAUAACUCGUUGUCGGCGAUACACAGUCGGUGACUAAGCGAAAGCGAUAAGUUAUCCACCUGGGGAGUACGUUCGCAAGAAUGAAACUCAAAGGAAUUGACGGGGGCCCGCACAAGCGGAGGAACAUGUGGUUUAAUU
rnacentral:rRNA from 1 species